rnacentral:rRNA from 1 species
GAUGCGUGAUGGUUGGCGAUCGCGAAGGUAAUCACGACCCGGAUCUUCAGCGCAUCUGCUAUGUUCGAAACCAUGGAAUCGAUCUGGAGCUUAGCACAUGUGCCGCAGUACAGGGAGGCGGGGGAAAACCUAUAUAUCUUUCAGAUGUUCUACUUGGGAGAUUGGAAGAAAGUUGUCCAUGGAGGUCCGUGGCUGUUCAGGGGGAUGGGGAUGCUGGUCGAAGAUUAUGAUGGCAAGCUAGACCCGGAAUCCUUUACUUUUGAUGGCCUGUAUGUCUGGGCACAAAUACACAAUAUACCGGAGCUCUACCGUAAAAGUGAGGUUGUUGAUCAACUCGCUAGGCGGAUUGGCCAGGUGAAGGAAACACAACUAUCUCCUAGGCUUUUGUAUGAAGGGAACUACGUCCGUAUCCGGGCUAGGGUUCUGGUGGAUAAACCGCUUACCAGGGUUAUUCCAUUGAACAUGGUGGGAGAGGGCAGGAAACUCCUCCCUGUCAAGUACAAGAAGAUACCGUACUUCUGUCAAGUCUGUGGACUCAUGGGUCAUAAUCAUGAGGAGUGUGGAGAUGGAGUUUGGGAGGCCAAAGACAAGCAAUGGGGAAGCUGGAUGUUGGCACAGAGAAGGGAGAUACUACAGGAGCAGCAAGGAGGAGGUCGAGCCUCGCGUGGUGGUCGUUUUGGAGGCCGUGGAAGAGGAAGCACGGGAAGGGGUGCACCACCGCCUCGUCAUACUUCACCUGCGCGCAAACGCUCAUCUCAGGAUGCGGGGUUGGAUUCGGGAGCAGAAGAGGGAGAGGAAGAGGACGUGGCUAGUCCGCUGAAAUCAACUGUCACAAAGGGGAAGGAGCAUGAAGGAGGUCAGGGGGCUCGCAGAAAUCUGAGCUUCGCUUCGGUUGGAAACAUGCCUAAUGAAAACUAG